rnacentral:rRNA from 1 species
AGUCGUAACAAGGUCUCCGUAGGUGAACCUGCGGAGGGAUCAUUACACAAAUAUGAAGGCGGGCUGUAACCCCGAGAGGUUCCAGCCUUGCUGAAUUAUUCACCCUUGUCUUUUGCGUACUUCUUGUUUCCUUGGUGGGUUCGCCCACCACUAGGACAAACAUAAACCUUUUGUAAUUGCAAUCAGCGUCAGUAACAAAUUAAUAAUUACAACUUUCAACAACGGAUCUCUUGGUUCUGGCAUCGAUGAAGAACGCAGCGAAAUGCGAUAAGUAGUGUGAAUUGCAGAAUUCAGUGAAUCAUCGAAUCUUUGAACGCACAUUGCGCCCUUUGGUAUUCCAAAGGGCAUGCCUGUUCGAGCGUCAUUUGUACCCUCAAGCUUUGCUUGGUGUUGGGCGUCUUGUCUCUAGCUUUGCUGGAGACUCGCCUUAAAGUAAUUGGCAGCCGGCCUACUGGUUUCGGAGCGCAGCACAAGUCGCACUCUCUAUCAGCAAAGGUCUAGCAUCCAUUAAGCCUUUUUUUUCAACUUUUGACCUCGGAUCAGGUAGGGAUACCCGCUGAACUUAAGCAUAUCAUAAAAGUCG